rnacentral:rRNA from 1 species
GAUGAACGCUGGCGGCGUGCUUAACACAUGCAAGUCGAACGGAAAGGCCCAAGCUUGCUUGGGUACUCGAGUGGCGAACGGGUGAGUAACACGUGGGUGAUCUGCCCUGCACUUCGGGAUAAGCCUGGGAAACUGGGUCUAAUACUGGAUAGGACCACUUCUUGGAUGUUGUGGUGGAAAGUUUUUUCGGUGUGGGAUGAGCUCGCGGCCUAUCAGCUUGUUGGUGGGUAAUGGCCUACCAAGGCGUCGACGGGUAGCCGGCCUGAGAGGGUGUACGGCCACAUUGGGACUGAGAUACGGCCCAGACUCCUACGGGAGGCAGCAGUGGGGAAUAUUGCACAAUGGGCGCAAGCCUGAUGCAGCGACGCCGCGUGGGGGAUGACGGCCUUCGGGUUGUAAACUCCUUUCGCUAGGGACGAAGCGUUUUGUGACGGUACCUGGAGAAGAAGCACCGGCUAACUACGUG